rnacentral:lncRNA from 1 species
CUCUCUCUUCUUCUUCUGCUCCUCGAGGGUGCGGAGGCCGGCGGGCCAGGGAGUCGAUCUCGCGACGUUGGGGGUCGACGCUUCCUCCUCCAUAGGGCGAGGACCCCCAGACGCUUCGUUACCAUCGGAUGUAUCGCUGAUGGUGAUGGGUUCCCCCUCGACCCCCAAUCGAGGGGGCUCGGGGGCUCCCUCUGACGCUUGCGUCUGGGGCGCCUCAUCA